rnacentral:sRNA from 1 species
CGCCCAUACUCUCCGGUGACACGCCCAUAGCACCAACCCCGGAGCAGAUUGGGAAGCUGCGCAGUGAGCUGGAGAUGGUGAGUGGGAACGUGAGGGUGAUGUCGGAGAUGCUGACGGAGCUGGUGCCCACCCAGGCCGAGCCUGCAGACCUGGAGCUGCUGCAGGAGCUCAACCGUACGUGCCGAGCCAUGCAGCAGCGGGUCCUGGAGCUCAUCCCUCAGAUCGCCAAUGAGCAGCUGACAGAGGAGCUGCUCAUCGUCAAUGACAAUCUCAACAACGUGUUCCUGCGCCAUGAACGGUUUGAACGGUUCCGAACAGGCCAGACCACCAAGGUAAAUAAGGCUAUGCCACCACCUGCUGCCCCAGGGUGUCCCCAGCCUCCCAGGGAGUCCAGUUGAGCUGGAGCCGGAGGGGAGGAAGGAAAUUCCCUGAUGCCCAGUCCUAGCUCCUGGGGCCCUGGUGACAGAUCCUUGGGCAAAGCCUGCAGGCCCCAGUGCUUGGGGCAGAAAGGAACAAAGCUGCAGACAGAGGGGAUGAUUAGGGCAUCUCCCUUCCCACCAGGCCCCAAGUGAGGCCGAGCCGGCAGCUGACCUGAUCGACAUGGGCCCUGACCCAGCAGCCACCGGCAACCUCUCAUCCCAGCUGGCAGGAAUGAACCUGGGCCCCAGCAGUGUGAGAGCUGGCCUGCAGUCUCUGGAGGCCUCUGGUCGACUGGAAGAUGAGUUUGACAUGUUUGCGCUGACACGGGGCAGCUCUCUGGCUGACCAACGGAAAGAGGUAAAAUACGAAGCCCCCCAAGCAACAGACGGCCUGGCUGGAGCCCUGGACGCCCGGCAGCAGAGCACUGGCGCG